rnacentral:rRNA from 1 species
AUGGUGCCUCCUGGUCCGCCGUCGCCGCCACUCCGCUCCGCAGGCGCCGCCAUCUCGCUCUGCCGGCAUCGCUCGGCCUUGGCUAACCGCUGGACGUGGAACAAGAUGGGGAUUGUAUUCGGUUUCUUGAGCCGAUAUAGCAGCUUACGGAGCAGCAGGCGGACGGGGUGCGAGGGCGGCCGGGUUCGCGGAGGAGGCGGAGGCCGGGCUGUGGACGCGAGUCGGUGGGGCUUGCCUGGCGGAGCUCGGGCGGAGCCGGACAGCCGGAAGCCGGCCCGGCGCGGGAGUCGGAGUCCAGGUGCGGGUGGAGCAGGCCGAGCACAGGAGCUGGCGUCCGGCUGGCGACGGCAAACCGGCACGGAGGCGAAGCCGGUCCGGGCCGGGUGCAAAGACGGCAGGGCGCGGGGAUUCGUUGCGGAGCGGCGCAGAGGCCGGCCCGCGGAUCCGUGCACACGGAGGGGCGCAGAUGCAAGCUGGGGAGGCUGCAGGCGUGAGCAGAUGCCGGGCGGCCCGUGGCUGCGGCCGGCGCAGACGGGGGCGCGGACGGAGGUAGAGCCGGCGCACGCGGGGCGCAGUAAGGACGUCGUGGGGUCGGACGGUGGCGCUAGGCUGGAGGUCGAGGCAAUGCACACCCGCGCGCGAGAAAGGAGCAGCGCGCAGUGGUGCUUGGGCACAGGCGAUGCAGGGGCGCUGCUGCUCGAGGGCCGAGGGAGCCCGCGCUGGGAACGGCCCACCGCCGUGGCCGCAGUGAGUUACAGAGCAGCGAGCAACGGGACGGCUCGGGCAGGUCGAGCUGGGAGCAGCGGGGCGGCCCGGGCGCGCAGAUGGGGGAGCCUGCGACAGCCACGGCUCGGGAGCUGGAAGAGGCUGCAGCCGUGGCGAGGGCAGUUGGCGGAGCAGAAGCAGCGCGAGGAUGCGGCAGGAGCAGCUACAGCCGGAGAGCAACGCCAUGGAUUUUGGAAGCGUAUGGACAUUGUCUGA